GCCAGCAUGGUGUAGUGGUUUGAACAUUGGACUAUGACUCUAGAGACCCGGGUUUGAAUCCCCACUCAGCCA